GGCAAGAGACUAACAAUAGACUCCGGCGCCAGCAAGAGCCUGGCUCCCCAGUCUCCAAGACUGUCGGAUUGAAAGGGUCCGUACCAACUAAACUUGUUGCACCCAAGAAGCUUACUGAUACCCCAGUAUCUUCACCAAAAGGAGUUGUGAAUGGUAGGGGACAGUUGUCUCCUAUUCGUGGUGGAGCAUUACGGCCUGCGUCGCCCAGUAAGCUUGGUACACUGUCACCAAUGAGGGGAGUGAGCCCAUCCAGGAUGAGGAAUGCUGCGGGAGCUGUGGUGAGUAGCAAUUUAAGCAAUAUGAAUAAUACGCCUUCAAUUUUGAGCUUUGCUGCUGAUAUUCGGAGGGGCAAGAGUGGGGAGCAUCAGAUUGUUGAGGUGCAUUUGUUGAGGAUUUUAUAUAAUCGGUUGUUGCAAUGGCGUUUUGUGAAUGCCAGAGCUGAUACUGCCUUGUCAGCCCAGAGGUUGAAUGCAGAGAGAAGCCUGUAUAAUGCACGUGUAACAAGCUCAAAACUGCGUGAAUCUGUCAAGGCAAAGAGAAUAGAGUUACAGUGGUUGAGGCAAAAUUUGAAGCUAAUUUCUAUUCUCAAGGGGCAGAUGAUAUAUUUGGAAGAAUUGGCACUUAUGGACCAGGAUUUUUCCCGUUCUUUAUCUGGGGCUAUUGAAGCUUUGCGGGCUAGCACACUUCGCCUACCUGUUGUUGGUGGGGUAAGGGCAGAUAUCCAAAAAGUGAAGGAUGCUAUCUGUUCAGCAGUUGAUGUGAUGCAGGCAAUGGCAUCCUCAAUAUGCUUAUUGUUAUCAAAGGUUGGGGAAGUAAACACUCUGGUGGCCGAACUUGCUAAUGUAGCUGCAAAGGAGCAUGCUUUGCUUGAUCAAUGCAAGGAUCUCUUGUCAAUCAUCUUAGCCAUGCAGG
rnacentral:misc_RNA from 1 species